rnacentral:lncRNA from 1 species
GGAGUGGAUAGGGGAUGUAAGAAUUGAAUGAUCACUCCAUCUGCCAUCUUCUAUUUAUAGCACCAGAUAGGGUGCUAAUAGAGAAGGCACGCCUCAUCUGGAAAGGUAUAUCAAGUCUUCGUAUCACUUAUCUGAGAGUCUUUAAACAGAAGGACUCUUCAUGGGAGUGAUACGUCAAUUCCUGCCUUCUCAUGUGUGCACGCUCAGAACGAGAUGCUUUUCGCAUCUCUUCACAUAUCAGAUUAGUAUGAAAUUUUGCCACAUAAACCUUUGUCCAAAUAGGAAGGCUAUCACCAAAUGACACAUUAUGUGGAUAAGAGUUCAUAUGUGAGAAAGACUCUUCACCGAAGAGACGUGCGAGCACCUUCUCCCUGUCGCGUGCACGCACGCCCAGAAAAGGGUGUGAAAAGUAACCUUUCUUAAUCUGAUAAUUUUUCAGAUUUUUACCAUGUGUCAGCACUAAAACUGAUCCUUAUCACAAAAAUUAUCAGAUAAAAAGUUGCUUAAGACUCCCUAAACAGGAGUCUUCGCGUCCCUUCGUGCAUCCAAAAAAAACUAUCGCGCGCCCAGCAAAGUUUCAAGCAAUUUUUUCACGCACAAUCUGGUAGAUUUUUCAUACUUCAAAAGGUGUGCUAGGUGGCUAAUCAUCUGAUCUACUUGCCAUAAAAAAUAAAGGCCCAAAACAGAAGGAUUCUUAGUCCUUCUCCACGCCACAAAUAAAGUGCGCAUGCAUUCUGCAUAUUAGCACCAAGAGUCCUUAAGUUGGACUCUUAGUUAUUUGGCGUGUACAUCAGAUAUGGUGCCUCAUUUUGGCUGCUUUCAGGUGGCUUGACCUGACCCAAAUGCUCAUUAAAUUGGGCUAGCAAAUGAGCAAGGUAUGAGACCAAAUUGAUCUCUACAAGAGUUAGGGAUUCCACACGUGCUAGCAUGCUUACCGGAACCCCGAUUGAAUCCAAAAUUUCAAUCAACCUUUUUAAAAAGGAUCCUUGGCCAAUUUUCAUAUGUGUGUGACCCAUUGGGUUCCACAUCUAGCUAGUAGUAGUCCGGGUGCAAGUUAACCUAAUUUGAUUAGAAUUUAAUCUAACCGAUUUAGGUCCAAUCGAGCUAAUCCGAUUUCAGUAAUUAAAACUCUUUCUAAUUAGCGUUCGAAUUAAACUCUUUAAUUCGAUCAAAAACCUACAAGUCAAGAUUGACGUCUAGCAACGUAUCAUGACUAUCCAGAAGAUGUGAAAAUUUGGUGGAAAUACCAAAUAUACCUUUUAGUGGCAAGUUACCAUGCAAUACAAUCCUUCGAUCAUCCCAGCACCUUGAAUAUAUUCAUGAGUAUGGAAUCAUGUCAAAUUCAAACUCAUAUUCAUAUUGAUUCUCAAUUAACCAAUGAUGACUCCAAUGAAGAAGCAUUAGAAACUCUUUCUAAUCUCCUUCCUACUUUUGGUCAAAAGAUUUUUUCUGAGUCAUCUAUGAAUGAGAAUACACAGGAUGCGAUCUCCUCUUACUAGGAGCGAUCGAUUCCAUGUUGACUUACUCAUAACCUUCGUACACACUCCUAUCAUAUCCAGAACAUCCCGUACUUGUCUUAAAGCUAUGUUUGAGUAUGAACCAAAAUAUAGAUUUAUGUGCACAAGAUUUUAUAGUGAUCUCAGGUCUAAGGAUCAUUUGCACAACUCCCACUUAGAGAACCAUCUUUGAUAUGUAUGUAAGGCUUCCAUAAGAUGUUCUCUUUCAUCGAGUCAAUUCAGUGGACUCAUUUCUCAAAUGAGCAUCCACAUUCUUGUAUUAGUGUUCUAUACAAGUAGCUAGUGAGAUCUGCCACCCUCUCCAUCGAGCAUACAUAGGAUGUGUCAGUCUAUUCGGAACAUUGAUCUUCGACUCAAUUCUCUUACGACCA